CUACGGGAUGCUCCAGUGAGGAAUAUUGCACAAUGGGGGGAACCCUGAUGCAGCAACGCCGCGUGGAGGAUGACGCAUUUCGGUGUGUAAACUCCUUUUAUAUGUCAAGAAAAUGACGGUAGCAUAUGAAUAAGCACCGGCUAACUCCGUGCCAGCAGCCGCGGUAAUACGGAGGGUGCAAGCGUUACUCGGAAUCACUGGGCGUAAAGGACGCGUAGGCGGGUUGGAAAAUCAAGUGUGAAAUCCUACAGCUUAACUGUAGAACUGCACUUGAAACUUCUAAUCUAGAGUAUGGGAGGGGGAGAUGGAAUUAGUGGUGUAGGGGUAAAAUCCGUAGAUAUCACUAGGAAUACCUAAAGCGAAGGCGAUCUCCUGGAACAUUACUGACGCUAAGGCGUGAAAGCGUGGGGAGCAAACAGGAUUAGAUACCCCCGUAGUC
rnacentral:rRNA from 1 species